rnacentral:lncRNA from 1 species
UACUCUUCAAAGCCACAAGUCAAGAGCCAGCUUUGCCUGACAUCCCGGCCCCAUGCAGAGGUUUGGCGCUGGUGCCCCUGAUGUCACUGGUAUGAGGUGCCAAGUUCAGAGUCUGAGGGCAGCGAGUCUGGAUUAUGACUGCUGUCACCUUGCCAGAAGCCUUAGCCCCAGCUGACGACCAGAAUUACCUAAGGACUGGUUUGACAUUCCACGUUAUUGAGUUCAUCCUGGAAGCUUAUAAGACUAUGAACAAUAUAGACCCAGGAUGCCGGAUGGCUGUAAUGAGACUGCUCUGUGUGAUCCUGCUCCUGCUGAAUGGGAUGUCAGUGAGAUUACUGGCUUGCAGAAGGGAACAACGGCAGAAAGAACAUCACCUUCAUCUCUGCUGUAAUGCCCCCGAUGAAUAAUGUAAAAGAAAAUCAGGUAUUGUAUUAUCUUAUCCAUAAAUGCUUAACUGUGUAUCUCUAAAACAAAUGGACUCCUUAAAAAAAUAGCCAUUUUGUAAUUAUCACACUGGAGAUGUGAAGUCAUUCCUUCAUAUCACCUAAUAGCUUGUCAGCGAUCAGAUUUCCUUCGUUCUUUUCACAGCUGGUUAAUAAUAGGCAGUGAAAGGGUGUGCACAUAUUUGUUACACACACAGUCCUCUCUCCACAAUUUGUCUUGUUAAUUCACUUGGAGAAACUGAAUGAAAUGUCCCACAGAAAUUUUCACGCGCUGGAUUUGGCUGACUGUUGAGCAGUACUGCUCUCUGUCCUGUGUGAAUUGAUAAUUGGCUUGAUCAUCUUGGAUUUUGUUUAGCAGGAAUGUUUUUUAUGUAUAUUUGAGUUCCUCCCCCUGCCUGCCACUAGGGCGCUGGGAGCCUGGCAUCUCUCCCUUUUGGAUAUGUAGGUUCAUAAGUGGAAAUUUUCUUCUCAGAUUCCCACCCUCAUAACUGAUCUGAUUUUCUUCACGGCUGUCCAUGGUCAUUGGGUAUCCAUGGUUUUAUGAGGGGUGCUCAUAGUGACAUCCUAACACAGUAAUUAUUUCUGCAUCUGUUAGCUGCACUUUUGUCUAUAGACAGGAGCUUCCAGACUGUGACUGAUCAACUGCUCCCACAGAGAUUCGUGUAGAAAAGUCCACAUACGUUCUCUUUUUCUUUCCACUUACCAGUUUUUGGAAUAGUGACUUGGUGUGAUCAAUGCAGGUGUUUUAUUGCUGUCAGUUUACCCAUGGAUUUUUAACUUAUUUUAUAUAAUUCAACUCAUUGGUCUCUUUGUUGUUCAUUUGUUCUCGGCCAGUGGGAAUCCUUCCAGCUUAGUCCCCCGAUGUUUUAGAGAUUUCCCAGGUAACUCGGUUAGCUUUCUUGUUUUCCAUUAUGAUGAGAUCAUCUAGAAUAAACACAUAAGAUUUCUGAUGAGAGCUGAGUCA